GACGAACGCUGGCGGCGUGCCUAACACAUGCAAGUCGAACGGAACUCAUUGGAAUGAGACUUCGGUCGAAUGAUAGUGAGUUUAGUGGCGGACGGGUGAGUAACGCGUGAGCAACCUGCCUUUCAGAGGGGGACAACAGUUGGAAACGACUGCUAAUACCGCAUGAUGUAUUUCGAGGGCAUCCUUGAAAUACCAAAGAUUUUAUCGCUGAAAGAUAGGCUCGCGUCUGAUUAGUUAGUUGGUGGGGUAACGGCCUACCAAGACUACGAUCAGUAGCCGGACUGAGAGGUUGAACGGCCACAUUGGGACUGAGAUACGGCCCAGACUCCUACGGGAGGCAGCAGUGGGGAAUAUUGGGCAGUGGGGGCAACCCUGACCCAGCAACGCCGCGUGAAGGAAGAAGGCUUUCGGGUUGUAAACUUCUUUGACGAGGGACGAAUAAAUGACGGUACCUCGAAAACAAGCCACGGCUAACUACGUGCCAGCAGCCGCAGUAAUAC
rnacentral:rRNA from 1 species